UUUGCGACCAUAUCCAAAGCCCGU
rnacentral:miRNA from 1 species